rnacentral:rRNA from 1 species
UACGUAGGGUGCAAGCGUUGUCCGGAAUUAUUGGGCGUAAAGAGCUCGUAGGCGGUUUGUUGCGUCGGCUGUGAAAUCCCGAAGGCUCAACCUCGGGUCUGCAGUCGAUACGAGCAAACUAGAGUGUUGCAGGGGAGACUGGAAUUCCUGGUGUAGCGGUGAAAUGCGCAGAUAUCAGGAGGAACACCGGUGGGCGAAGGCGGGUCUCUGGG